AGGUGGGCAGGAUGAAAAUUCUAAGGCGCUUGAGAGAACUCAGGAGAAGGAACUCGGCAAAUUGAUACCGUAACUUCGGGAGAAGGUAUGCCUCGGUAGCGUGAAGCCCCUGCGGGUGGAGCGUGAUGAGGUCGCAGAGAAUCGGUGGCUGCAACUGUUUAAUAAAAACACAGCACUCUGCAAAGGCGAAAGCCGACGUAUAGGGUGUGACGCCUGCCCGGUGCCGGAAGGUUAAGUGAUGGGGUGCAAGCUCUUGAUCGAAGCCCCGGUAAACGGCGGCCGUAACAAUAACGGUCCUAAGGUAGCGAAAUUCCUUGUCGGGUAAGUUCCGACCUGCACGAAUGGCGUAAUGAUGGCCACACUGUCUCUUCCUGAGACUCAGCGAAGUUGAAAUGUUUGUGAAGAUGCAAUCUACCCGCGGCUAGACGGAAAGACCCCAUGAACCUUUACUGUAGCUUUGCAUUGGACUUUGACGGGACUUGUGUAGGAUAGGUGGGAGGCUGUGAGGCGUGGUCGCCAGAUCGCGCGGAGCCAACCUUGAAAUACCACCCUGGUGUCGUUGAGGUUCUAACCUUGGUCCGUGAAUCCGGAUCGGGGACCGUGCAUGGCAGGCAGUUUGACUGGGGCGGUCUCCUCCCAAAGAGUAACGGAGGAGUACGAAGGUCUUCUAAGCACGGUCGGACAUCGUGCUCAUAGUGCAAUGGCAAAAGAAGGCUUGACUGCGAGUCCAACAAGACGAGCAGGUGCGAAAGCAGGUCAUAGUGAUCCGGUGGUUCUGUAUGGAAGGGCCAUCGCUCAACGGAUAAAAGGUACUCUGGGGAUAACAGGCUGAUUCCGCCCAAGAGUUCACAUCGACGGCGGAGUUUGGCACCUCGAUGUCGGCUCAUCACAUCCUGGGGCUGUAGCCGGUCCCAAGGGUAUGGCUGUUCGCCAUUUAAAGUGGUACGUGAGCUGGGUUUAAAACGUCGUGAGACAGUUUGGUCCCUAUCUGCCGUGGGCGCUGGAAAUUUGAGGGGGCCUGCUCCUAGUACGAGAGGACCGGAGUGGACGGAUCUCUGGUGUACCGGUUGUCACGCCAGUGGCAUCGCCGGGUAGCUAAAUCCGGAAGAGAUAAACGCUGAAAGCAUCUAAGCGUGAAACUCGCCUCAAGAUGAGAUUUCCCGGGGGUUCAACCCCCCUGAAGGGUCGUCCAAGACCAGGACGUUGAUAGGUCAGGUGUGGAAGCGCAGUAAUGCGUUAAGCUAACUGAUACUAAUUGCCCGUGUGGCUUGACCGU
rnacentral:rRNA from 1 species